ACUCUCUGAUGAUGAUUGC
rnacentral:snRNA from 1 species